AGUGAACGCUGGCGGUAGGCCUAACACAUGCAAGUCGAACGGCAGCACAGUAAGAGCUUGCUCUUACGGGUGGCGAGUGGCGGACGGGUGAGGAAUACAUCGGAAUCUACUUUUUCGUGGGGGAUAACGUAGGGGAACUUACGCUAAUACCGCAUACGACCUACGGGUGAAAGCAGGGGAUCUUCGGACCUUGCGCGAUUGAAUGAGCCGAUGUCGGAUUAGCUAGUUGGCGGGGUAAAGGCCCACCAAGGCGACGAUCCGUAGCUGGUCUGAGAGGAUGAUCAGCCACACUGGAACUGAGACACGGUCCAGACUCCUACGGGAGGCAGCAAUGGGGAAUAUUGGACAAUGGGCGCAAGCCUGAUCCAGCCAUACCGCGUGGGUGAAGAAGGCCUUCGGGUUGUAAAGCCCUUUUGUUGGGAAAGAAAAGCAGCAGGUUAAUACCCCGCUGUUCUGACGGUACCCAAAGAAUAAGCACCGGCUAACUUCGUG
rnacentral:rRNA from 1 species